rnacentral:rRNA from 1 species
UUGGAGGGCAAGUCUGGUGCCAGCAGCCGCGGUAAUUCCAGCUCCAAUAGCGUAUAUUAAAGUUGUUGCAGUUAAAAAGCUCGUAGUUGAAUUUCGGGGUUCUACCGUUGGUCGGGCUUUGUCUGUACUGGUGUGUAGAAUUUCUACCUUCUGGGGAACCAUCAUGCUAUUAAUUUAGCGUGGUGGGAAACCAGGACCUUUACCUUGAAAAAAUUAGUGUGUUCAAAGCAGGCUUAUGUCUGAAUACAUUAGCGUGGAAUAAUAGAAUAGGACGGUGGUCCUGUUUUGUUGGUUUCUGAAUCACCGUAAUGAUUAAUAGGGAUAGUUGGGGGCAUUGGUAUUCAAUUGUCAGAGGUGAAAUUCUUGGAUUUAUUGAAGACUAACUUCUGCGAAAGCAUUUGCCAAGGAUGUUUUCAUUAAUCAAGAACGAAAGUUAGGGGAUCGAAGACGAUCAGAUACCGUCGUAGUCUUAACCAUAAACUAUGCCGACUAGGGAUCGGACGAUGUUAAUUUUUCUUGACUCGUUCGGCGCCUUACGGGAAAC